rnacentral:rRNA from 1 species
GAUGAACGCUGGCGGCGUGCCUAAUACAUGCAAGUCGAGCGAAUGGAUUAAGAGCUUGCUCUUAUGGAGUUAGCGGCGGACGGGUGAGUAACAUGUGGGUAACCUGCCCAUAAGACUGGGAUAACUCCGGGAAACCGGGGCUAAUACCGGAUAACAUUUUGAACCGCAUGGUUCGAAAUUGAAAGGCGGCUUCGGCUGGCACUUAGGGAUGGACCCGCGUCGCAUUAGCUAGUUGGUGAGGUAACGGCUCACCAAGGCAACGAUGCGUAGCCGACCUGAGAGAGUGAUCGGCCACACUGGGACUGAGACACGGCCCAGACUCCUACGGGAGGCAGCAGUAGGGAAUCUUCCGCAAUGGACGAAAGUCUGACGGAGCAACGCCGCGUGAGUGAUGAAGGCUUUCGGGUCGUAAAACUCUGUUGUUAGGGAAGAACAAGUGCUAGUUGAAUAAGCUGGCACCUUGACGGUACCUAACCAGAAAGCCACGGCUAACUACGUGCCAGCCGCCGCGGUAA